CUUUUAUGGAGAGUUUGAUCCUGGCUCAGGACGAACGCUGGCGGCGUGCCUAAUACAUGCAAGUCGAGCGGAUCUUCCCUUCGGGGAAGGUUAGCGGCGGACGGGUGAGUAACACGUAGGCAACCUGCCUGUAAGACCGGGAUAACAUUCGGAAACGAAUGCUAAUACCGGAUACGCAGCCUGAUCGCAUGAUCGGACUGGGAAAGACGGUGCAAGCUGUCACUUACAGAUGGGCCUGCGGUGCAUUAGCUAGUUGGUGAGGUAACGGCUCACCAAGGCGACGAUGCAUAGCCGACCUGAGAGGGUGAUCGGCCACACUGGGACUGAGACACGGCCCAGACUCCUACGGGAGGCAGCAGUAGGGAAUCUUCCGCAAUGGACGAAAGUCUGACGGAGCAACGCCGCGUGAGUGAUGAAGGUCUUCGGAUCGUAAAGCUCUGUUGCCAGGGAAGAACAGCCAAGGGAGUAACUGCCCUUGGAAUGACGGUACCUGAGAAGAAAGCCCCGGCUAACUACGUGCCAGCAGCCGCGGUAAUACGUAGGGGGCAAGCGUUGUCCGGAAUUAUUGGGCGUAAAGCGCGCGCAGGC
rnacentral:rRNA from 1 species